AAUCCGCGGUACCAAAGAAACCUGCCUCUUUUCUGCUAUGGCUCUCUCCCAGUCCACAGCCUGAAGCUCCAAGGCGCCCUCCCCCACCCACGAGACAUCAAAGAUGGCGCCAGGCCCGCGCGACUGGAGGUCACCGGCACGCGGAAGGUGCAGCCCGAACGCGCGGGGAUACGGGGACAAGGGAGGGCGUGAGGACCCAGAUGGGAGCACGCGAGCGAUAUCCGGGACCUCAUUUCUGCCUAGCAACAUCACAACCAAUCAAGAUGCAAUUGGGCCUGGCAGUUCGGCUCAUCCUUCACUGGGAUUGGCUGCUGGCGGUGAGCGCAUCCUAAGUUUUCAUUGGCUGACGGCCACCUGUAUGGAAAUAAGAAUGACAGGGGACUCUGCGACGUGGACCUGUGGCUUACUGCACUGAAACCUGCAAGCUCAGAGCCAGAACUCCUGGGCUUUUUUUCUGCCUUCUCUCCCUGUUCUUCCCCAAAGAGAUAUCUCAAAC